UCAUCAAGUUUGUACCCUAAAGGCACUACAGCUCGAACCGAAUCUCGGAGUUGAAGAUGCGACCUUUUUGCCCUUAGCUACUUAUUUUGUGCGGUAGCAUGCAUGUUAAGCUUACAAUUACCGCGUGUUAGGAAGCGGCACGGCGGGGCGUGAGAUAAACCGGGAAUAUAUUGCAAAUAAAUUGUGCGGAAAAAAAUGGAGCCGACUCUUCCCUUUAACUUCGGACGAAGGCUUCUGUACAUCCUGGUUUUUCAAUUUUUAGUUCAUAGCAAAUCGGAUAAUGUGGGUCAGGAUAGCUAUCCCAAGACGGACAUCAAGUUGGACAAUAAGGUUUACGUGAUGACAGAAGAUAACUUCCACCAUCUGAUACAAGGACACGAAACCGGUUUGGUUCUGUUCCAUGUGCCAUGGAACGCGCAAUACCGAAGUAUGCUGCCGGAAUACGAAAAGGUUACGAAAAAAGUUAACGAUGAACUUCCGUCAGUGUUGAUGGGAAAAUUGGAUGUGUCGCUUCAUCCAGAAAUUGCCGAACAGUUAGAUAUCCGUGGCGAUGAGCCGCAGUUCUUGUUCUUCAAUCAAGGAAAGCCGUACAAUUAUGAGGACUUUAAAAGCUAUUCAGCUUUGUUGGAGAGUCUUCGGUUGCACGCUGGCCACAUUUAGUUUCCGCCACGACCGCAUCCGGAACUUGUGCCUGAGCUGACGCAGCACGAAUUCCAGCAGACGAUAAAAGGUCUGGAUUUUGCUGAUGUGGCUUUCUACAGAACGGAAGACUUGCGUCCGGUGUCGGAAGUGGAUCUGGAGAGAGAUUUCGAUAUGUUAUUAUGGCGGGCACCAGGUGAAACGAGGUUCGAACCCACCACUGCGGCCACGCGUACUAAAUUCCUCAUGCCCAACUGCUCUACUGGACAUUCUCGAAUGAUGCUGGGACGAGAUGCCAUCUGUUCAGCCAACAUUUCAACGCCUUCGUGAAAAUUUUGCACAACUAUUCGCCCAUUCCGGUGACAGCAUUGUUGAGCACUUGAUUGUAAACGGAAGUGAAGUUGACCUUUACUCGAAACUUGCACUUAGCCUUAACCUAAAACUUUCCAGCGCGGAUAUAAUGAAUCCUUGUUGUAGCAUAUGUAUGAUGGAAAAAGAGGCAGCCAGUUUAGAACAAGAAGCGGAAGAGAAAAUGCAUCUGAUGCUGGAAGAAAAGCGACGCUCAGAUGAGAUUCUCAGCCAAAUUUUACCAAAAACUAUUGCCCAAGCCCUCACUCAAGGAAAACAAAUCCUUCCAGAAACAUUUGCCAGCACACGGUACAUUUUAGUAUUUUAGCGAUAUCGAAGGAUUUCCUGAAUUAACCUUACAAGCCGAAACACCAGCGGAUACUGUGUAUAUCUUGAACACUCUUUAUGCUACCUGCGAUGCAGUUAUUGAGAAGUCUGACGUUUACAAAGUGGAAACUGUCAAACUAACAGCAGCGUACUUGAACUUCUAUAUUGUUGCGUAAUUAUUGUUUUAAUUUCAGGAUGAAUAUGCCUAUUUGGUAAAGUUGAAUGCCGGCUAAAAGUAAAGUGAGAAGUGAAAUCAUCAUGAAAAUUGUGUUUAUCUAAGGUCGUAAGCGGGCUACCAGUUCGCAAUGGGAUCAAGCAUGCCGGUGAAAUCGCUACCCAUGGCUCUCUAUCUGAAGCGAGAUAUCGGCCUUCUCACAUUUCGAAACAGCACAGCUUCUACACCCAAACUUCGCCCACGCGUUGGACUACACUCUGGGUCGUGUGUGGCUGCCAUCAUCGGAGCCAAAAUGCCAAGAUACUGCCUGUAAGAAACUAUUUUUAAAGGCCGAGAACCCCAGAUAUCAAAAUUUGUGGACUACAGUUUUGGCUUCGUAAGUUCGGUGAUACGGUUAGCACU